rnacentral:rRNA from 1 species
UGAAUGGGCUAGGGCAUACACCAAUGUACCAAACCCUAUCAAACUCCGAAUACCUUAUAUGUAAUCACAGCAGUCAGGCGGCGAGUGAUAAAAUCCGUCGUCAAGAGGGAAACAACCCAGACUACCAGCUAAGGUCCCUAAAUCUUACUUAAGUGGAAAACGAUGUGAAGUUACUUAAACAACCAGGAGGUUGGCUUAGAAGCAGCCAUCCUUUAAAGAAAGCGUAAUAGCUCACUGGUCUAGUGAUUUUGCGCGGAAAAUAUAACGGGGCUAAAGUAAGUACCGAAGCUGUAGACUUAGUUUACUAAGUGGUAGGAGAGCGUUCUAUUUGCGUCGAAGGUAUACCGGUAAGGAGUGCUGGAGCGAAUAGAAGUGAGCAUGCAGGCAUGAGUAGCGAUAAUUAAUGUGAGAAUCAUUAACGCCGUAAACCCAAGGUUUCCUACGCGAUGCUCGUCAUCGUAGGGUUAGUCGGGUCCUAAGUCGAGUCCGAAAGGGGUAGACGAUGGCAAAUUGGUUAAUAUUCCAAUACCAACAUUAGUGUGCGAUGGAAGGACGCUUAGGGCUAAGGGGGCUAGCGGAUGGAAGUGCUAGUCUAAGGUCGUAGGAGGUUGUACAGGCAAAUCCGUAUAACAAUACUCCGAGAACUGAAAGGCUUUUUGAAGUCUUCGGAUGGAUAGAAGAACCCCUGAUGCCGUCGAGCCAAGAAAAGUUUCUAAGUUUAGCUAAUGUUGCCCGUACCGUAAACCGACACAGGUGGGUGGGAUGAGUAUUCUAAGGCGCGUGGAAGAACUCUCUUUAAGGAACUCUGCAAAAUAGCACCGUAUCUUCGGUAUAAGGUGUGGUUAGCUUCGUACUAGGAUUUACUCCGAAAGCGAAGAAACUUACAACAAAGAGUCCCUCCCGACUGUUUACCAAAAACACAGCACUCUGCUAACUCGUAAGAGGAUGUAUAGGGUGUGACGCCUGCCCGGUGCUCGAAGGUUAAUUGAUGGGGUUAGCAUUAGCGAAGCUCUUGAUCGAAGCCCGAGUAAACGGCGGCCGUAACUAUAACGGUCCUAAGGUAGCGAAAUUCCUUGUCGGUUAAAUACCGACCUGCAUGAAUGGCGUAACGAGAUGGGAGCUGUCUCAAAGAGGGAUCCAGUGAAAUUGUAGUGGAGGUGAAAAUUCCUCCUACCCGCGGCAAGACGGAAAGACCCCGUGGACCUUUACUACAGCUUGACACUGCUACUUGGAUAAGAAUGUGCAGGAUAGGUGGGAGGCUUUGAGUAUAUGACGCCAGUUGUAUAUGAGCCAUUGUUGAGAUACCACUCUUUCUUAUUUGGGUAGCUAACCAGCUUGAGUUAUCCUCAAGUGGGACAAUGUCUGGUGGGUAGUUUGACUGGGGCGGUCGCCUCCCAAAUAAUAACGGAGGCUUACAAAGGUUGGCUCAGAACGGUUGGAAAUCGUUCGUAGAGUAUAAAGGUAUAAGCCAGCUUAACUGCAAGACAUACAAGUCAAGCAGAGACGAAAGUCGGUCUUAGUGAUCCGGUGGUUCUGUGUGGAAGGGCCAUCGCUCAAAGGAUAAAAGGUACCCCGGGGAUAACAGGCUGAUCUCCCCCAAGAGCUCACAUCGACGGGGAGGUUUGGCACCUCGAUGUCGGCUCAUCGCAUCCUGGGGCUGGAGCAGGUCCCAAGGGUAUGGCUGUUCGCCAUUUAAAGCGGUACGCGAGCUGGGUUCAGAACGUCGUGAGACAGUUCGGUCCCUAUCUGCCGUGGGCGUAAGAAGAUUGAAGAGAUUUGACCCUAGUACGAGAGGACCGGGUUGAACAAACCACUGGUGUAGCUGUUGUUCUGCCAAGAGCAUCGCAGCGUAGCUAAGUUUGGAAAGGAUAAACGCUGAAAGCAUCUAAGCGUGAAGCCAACUCUAAGAUGAAUCUUCUCUAAGCUCUCUAGAAGACUACUAGUUUGAUAGGCUGGGUGUGUAAUGGAUGAAAGUCCUUUAGCUGACCAGUACUAAUAGAGCGUUUGGCUUAUCUUUAAUAAAGCAU